UACUUUUUUUUCUUUUUUUUUUUUUUGUCUUUUUAGGUCUGCACCUGUGGGUAUAUGGAAGUGCCCAGCCUAGGGGUUGAAUCAGAGCUGCAGCUGCCGGCCUACACCACAGCCACAGCAACGCGGGAUCCAAGCCUCAUCUGUGACCUACACCACAGCUCAUGGCGACACCAGAUCCUUAACCCCCUGAGUGAGGCCAGGGCUCGAACCCAAGUCCUCACGGAUACCGGUCAGUUUCAUUACCACUGAGCCACAAUGGGAACUCCCAGAUGCUCCUCUCCUGAUGCCACCUUCUCUUGAGAAUUUCUGGGAUUGGGUAGUGGUUGGAUAGCUACUCUUGUUGAGAUUCUAGAGACUGAAGCCCCAUUACCCUGGGGUGGAGGGAGGCACCCCAGUUGCUCUGAGAAGAUUACGGAGGAUUUUCCGGUGACCAGAGGGUCUCGCUGAAGUUUACACCCAGGGGUGACUUCCUGCGUCCGCUCCUGCAGCCCCAAGAGUCCCCCUCGUUUUCUGGGAUUCCAAACCUCCCCUCCUUGCAGCAAUCACCUUCUCAGGAGCAUGACUCACUUUUUCCUCCCGAGUCUAGGGGUUGGGGUGGGAUGCAGAACAGAGGCUAGAGCACCAAGCAAGUGACGUGGCCCCUCUAUUUUCUUGGUCGAUGUUGGCGUCAAAAAUCUCCAGACUUGUCUGCCUCAGAUACGGGAUUCUUUUAAGAAGACUCUCCCAAACCAGACAAUACCCUUUGGCCCAAAGGACACCUGCCAUGGGGGGAAUGAUCCGGGAUGUGUUUGCCAGAGUGGAGCGUGCAGGGGCUGGCAAGGAAUAGCCCUUGCUGGUGCCACACGACGGUGACUCAAACAUGCGGGUGAGUGAAGGCCCACAGGUACUAACGGGGGAGCUCUCUGUGCUUCCCUGACCACACAGCACAGAAACAGACGAACUCAUGAGUGGGGAACGGCCCUUUGGGGGAGGAGGGGAAGCGGGUCUUAGGGAUGCUGGUGAUCCCUUGGUUUUCUUUGUGCUGAGUGCCGACUGCAGAGCUGCGUUCUUCGUAAAGAUGCAUCUACCUGUACACUAAUAAUAGGCACCCUUCCCACAAGGUGCAUUGAAUUAAGCUUUUGUUUUCAAAUGUUAUAUGGAAAAAGCAAGUGAAUCUCAACUCCUUGGCCAAUGCUUCUCUGCAUUCAGUCCAAGAGCCCCACCUACGCUCUCGCCCUUUCUGCAGUUACCAUUUAGAUGGGGAGAAAGCCCUGUAAGACCUUGCAAGCUUUUCCGUGAUGGCCUCUCUGGCAAAACACAAUCAAGCGUUUGUGAUUCUUGGAGGCCUAAGGGUUUAGAGCUUUAGUAUCAGGGACUUUGGACACUGUCGACAGACGAGUUAUUAGGAGCUUUUUCAAGUACUCCUGCUGGGGUCAUGUGGGCUGUUGGCCAAACUAUUUCUUCUGUACUCAGACUUCAGGAAGACGCGGUUUCUUUUUCCGUGAGAGGACUGUGGCGAUUAUAAGCUGGCAUGGGUUUGGGGUACAGUUGCCUAAUCUUAGAGGGUGACUGGAAAAACCCAGAUGUGAGGGACGCGGGCCACAAAAAGGCCUCCUGAGGGAGUUCCCUGGUGGUCCAGUGGUGAAGGAUUUGGUGGCGUCACUGCUGUGGCUCAGGUUUGAUCCCUCACCACGGAUAAAUAAGUUAAUUCUCUAUAAGUAAGUUAAUUGGUUCACCUUGAUGUUUUCCAGGAAAUGAAGAAAUUGGUUUUAAAAGUUGUCUUAUGCUAAUAUCUGAUGAGGGAAUCUGGACAUAUCUUGAGGUAGGUUAUGUGUUUUGUUUUGUUUUUUCCAUUUGAGGGCUGUGGCAGCAGCAUACGGAAGUUGCUGGGCUAGGGGUCAAAUCGGAGCUGCAGCUGCUGGCCUACGCCAGCCACAGCAACACUGGAUCCAAGCCACAUCCGAGACUUAGACUUCAGCUUGCGGCAACGCCAGAUCCUUAACCCACUGAGUGAGGCCAGAGAUCGAACCCACAUCCUCACACACACUAGUCAGGUUUUUAACCCACUGAGCCACAAUGGCAACGCCAUUGAGGCAGUUUUUAAAUGUUUGAGGUUUUUUUAAACAUCAAAAUGAAGUCAGCUGUCUAUUUUUUUCUCUUGAUUUGAUUAAAAAACUACAUUUAAAGGAAAAUUGAAUGUAUAUGUUUUUGUUUAUGAAUAUUAAAAGUUACUAAAAUAUAAUUUGAGACACUAUUAGACAUCCAAGAAACUUAAUAAAGCUUUAAAGAAUGCCUUCUCGGAGUUCCCGUCAUGGCGCAGUGGUUAACAAAUCUGACUAGGAACCAUGAGGUUGCGGGUUCGGUCCCUGCCCUUGGUCAGUGGGUUAACGAUCCGGCGUUGCCGUGAGCUGUGGUUGCAGACGCGGCUCGGAUCCCGCUUUGCUGUGGCUCUGGCGUAGGCUGGCAGCUACAGCUCCGAUUGGACCCCUAGCCUGGGAAUCUCCAUAUGCCACGGGAGUGGCCCAAAUAAACAGUAAAAAGACAAAAAAAUAAAUAAAUAAAUAAAUAAAGAAAGAAAGAAUGCCUUCUCAAAAUUCCUUCAAAUAAGAAUCUAUAUUUUCCAUCUCUGCAGGACGUUCACUGCGGUGUCAGGCCCUCUCCAUCCCCUGACAGCGAUGCUCCAUAACCAUUUACUGAUUUCUCUAAGAAGCAGGUGAUAUUGUGAUUUAUACUAAGAAAUAUACACUUGGGUGUUCAUCCACAGUUCCUGGCUCACAGUUCCCAAAUCCCUUACAAUUUCCUAAUUGAUGAGAGCGAUAAAGGCAUCUUUUGUUCAAAUAUUUGGUUUUGUCCUCAGAUUCUGAAAUAGCUUCAGAGGGGUAAACAUGACGUCAUAUGACAGAAUGAUUAUAAUGUUGUAAAUUAACUACACUUCAAUGAAAUUUUUUUAAAAAACCCUAUGAAAUCAGCAUCUUUUGUUAUUCACAACAAAUCUUUCCGACCGUAUCUGCAUUUCUGUUCAUGGGAGGAAUUUUGGAAAGCCCCUAGAUAAUCACAGGGUGGGAGCUGGUUGCCAAGGAAACAAACCACAGGACUGGAAAGUUUAUUUCCUCCCCUCCUACUUCUGGGGAAGGGAAAGGGGCUGAAGGUUGAAUACUCACCAGUGGCUAAUAAUUUAAUCAACUUGCCUCGGCAUGAAGUCUCCGUGACAACCCAAGAGGGUGUAGUUUGGAGGGCUUCCUGUUGGUGAAGGCGUGAAGGUGCUGGGGGGCUGUGCUCCUGGGGAGGGCACAGAAGCUCUGCAUACCCUCCCCUAAGCCUUGCCCUACGCAUCGCUUCCAUCUGGUUGUUCCUGAGUUAUAACCCUUUAUGAAAAAUUGUUAAUAGAGCGAGCCAACUGUUUUCCUGAGUCCUGUGAACACCUCUAGCAAAGGACUGAACAAAAGAUGGGGGGCGUGGGAACCUCCAAUUUCUAGCCAGUGGUCAGAAUCACAAUGGGAGAAAAUAGAAAAAAUUUAUCUAUUGGUUUCUGCCCCAGGUUCCUAGCACAGAGCUUCUAAAACCCUUUUAAUUUCCUAAGCGAUAAAAGCAUUAGGGGCAUCUUUUGAUCUAAUACUUGGUCUCUGAUCCCAGUUCCUGACACAGGGCUCCGAAGUCCCUUGCAAUUUCCUGGGUGACUGGAGCAUCCUUUUGCUAAGGAGAUGACUCUGGUUGGGCUCCUGGGUGGCGGCUGCUCACCAGAAAGACCAAGCCUCAUUAGAAGAUUGGAAUUUUCGGCUCCACUCCCCAUUCUCCAGAGAGGGGAGAGAGAUUGGAAACUGAAUAAGCAAACAUGCCUAUGUGAAAUCCCAAAUGUACGGGGGCUGAGAGAGCUUCUGGGACGAACACAUGGAGGUGCCAGGAGAGUGGCCCAGGCUGGGAGGGCACGGGAGAGCCACACGCUUGCUCCAUGCAUUUCUUCUACCUGGGUGUUGAUCUGUUCCCUCUAUGAUGCCUACAGGAACGGGUAAACAGAAAGGAAACUGUUUUCCUGAGUUCUCUGGGCCACUCUAGCAAAUUAAUUGAACCCAAGGAGGAGGUCAUGGGAACCUCUGAUUAGGAGCCUAUUGGUCACAAGCCCAGGUAACAACCUGGACCUGCGGCUGGCAUCUGAAAUGUGGGACUGAGCCCUUAACCCGAGGGAUCUGACGCUCUCUCCAGGUGGACGGUGUCAGAAUGAGUUAACUUGUAGGGCGCUCAGCUGGUGUCUGAGAAUUUCUCAGUGUGACCAGAAAGAAGUGUUCUGAGCAUCAGAAGUGAAGCCCUGAGCGUGUUGAGAAACAGGACGUUUUUCUUCCUUUAAAAAAAGCACAAAGAUCCUUUUUUGGGGGUCGGGCUGAGGAGUGUGAGGGCAUAACUCUCCCAGGGAGGCUAGGGCUUCAAGCCCCCAACUGUGGUUUUUCUAAGGGAACAAACUGUCAUAGUCAAACCUCCUCCUCCAGGAACAGAUGAAGUCAUCUGCCAAGGGUGGGGGGGGGAGCACAGCACAUGACAGGGGACAGGGGUGCUCUCCUCCAGCUGGACCCUUAGCUUUGACAGCUUCUCUCCCUUAACCCUGGCCCAGAGGUCUUCUUGGUUCUCUAAAGUUCCCUGGUUUCAAAAAGGCACUGCUAGAAAGUUCCUUCCCUUUGGACCAGGACUUCCUACAUCAAAAGCUUGAGCCACUCUAGACACUCUAAGCCUUUUAGUUCUGUGUGAAUGACCAAACCAGCACCUCGCUUAGAUUUGGUCCUUCCCAAAGACCUGCAAUUCACUCAACACUGAAAGCACUUCACAGUUUGUUCACGUAUGUCGUCUUGAGUGUGAAACAGAUUUCAGGCAAAAUGAACUCAUUUCUAAGGAUGCUUGUCUUUCUAAUACAAAGUGCCCCAAACUGGCACUGUCUUGUUCGGCCAGAGCCAAGGGGUUGGGUGCCUUAAACACCUGACAACUGGGGGCUUCUGCUGAAGGGUCCGCCUUAGUAGACCUGAUAAGCUGGAUCCUCUUCUCUUUCCCUCCCCCACGGCCUCUCCUCCAGCCACAGGAAGUGGCCCAGGGCAGGCUGUUGACCCAGGAUCAUGUAUAGUCUGUCCAGCAAACUGUCACGACCCAGUUCACCAGGAGUUUCAACUAAAAAUAUCGAGAGGAUGACUUUCCGGGAGCAGAACCCAGAAGGGGCACAUUCAGAAGCAGAUGAAGCUGGGGCCACACAGGGUCCGUGGCCUUGGGAUCUGAAGUUAAGGGUAGGCUGGAGGUAAAGACCAAAGCACUACCAGGAGGCAAAAAUAAGACUGAACAGAGGGAGGGAACAUGGCAGAACGUAGACGAGCAGAGAAAGAAUAGCUGAGAAUACGCCCUAAAUACUUUUUCCGGGGUUAGGGUGCACUUGUAAUAAAUCUCUCUUUACUUGACUGAAUAAAUAUCGAUUUCUUCCACCCAAACUGGAAAAGUCAGAGCAGAUGCUGUCCUCCUCCCUUCCUUCCUCGCAGUGAUUCAGGGUGGGGGGGUGGGGGUGGAGCAGAGCUCAGAUGAUUCUUGUUAAUGGAUUCUCCGUGCUGAGAGGGUUUGUUGACUCGAGUGGGGGCAGAUCCCAGGUUGCUCUUGUGGCAGAUUCUCCGCGUUCACUCAUCAGUGACUCUCCAAGUGCCAGGCCUGCGAUCAAUUCGUCUC
ensembl:lncRNA